rnacentral:rRNA from 1 species
AGCUCCAAUAGCGUAUAUUAAAGUUGUUGCAGUUAAAAAGCUCGUAGUUGGAUUUCUGAAUGAAUUAUUCGGUCCAUUUGCGAAAGCAUUUGUGUACUAGAAAAAUUUGUUCAUUUUUGUGAGAGAGAUUAGAUGCCAUUAAGUUGGUGACUUUUUAAUCUUUGCAUCGUUUACUGUGAAAAAAUUAGAGUGUUUAAAGCAGGCUUUGGCCAAAUCUUGAAUACAUUAGCAUGGAAUAAUAAGAUAUGACUUUGGUGGUCUAUUUUGUUGGUUUGCACACCAGAGUAAUGAUUAAUAGGGACAGUUGGGGGUAUUUAUAUUCCUUCGUCAGAGGUGAAAUUCUUGGAUCGAUGGAAGAUAAACUAAUGCGAAAGCAUUUAUCAAGGAUGUUUUCAUUAAU